rnacentral:rRNA from 1 species
GAUGAACGCUGGCGGCGUGCCUAAUACAUGCAAGUCGAGCGAACGGACGAGAAGCUUGCUUCUCUGAUGUUAGCGGCGGACGGGUGAGUAACACGUGGAUAACCUACCUAUAAGACUGGGAUAACUUCGGGAAACCGGAGCUAAUACCGGAUAAUAUUUUGAACCGCAUGGUUCAAAAGUGAAAGACGGUCUUGCUGUCACUUAUAGAUGGAUCCGCGCUGCAUUAGCUAGUUGGUAAGGUAACGGCUUACCAAGGCAACGAUGCAUAGCCGACCUGAGAGGGUGAUCGGCCACACUGGAACUGAGACACGGUCCAGACUCCUACGGGAGGCAGCAGUAGGGAAUCUUCCGCAAUGGGCGAAAGCCUGACGGAGCAACGCCGCGUGAGUGAUGAAGGUCUUCGGAUCGUAAAACUCUGUUAUUAGGGAAGAACAUAUGUGUAAGUAACUGUGCACAUCUUGACGGUACCUAAUCAGAAAGCCACGGCUAACUACGUGCCAGCAGCCGCGGUAAUACGUANGUGGCAAGCGUUAUCCGGAAUUAUGGGCGUAAAGCGCGCGUAGGCGGUUUUUUAAGUCUGAUGUGAAAGCCCACGGCUCAACCGUGGAGGGUCAUUGGAAACUGGAAAACUUGAGUGCAGAAGAGGAAAGUGGAAUUCCAUGUGUAGCGGUGAAAUGCGCAGAGAUAUGGAGGAACACCAGUGGCGAAGGCGACUUUCUGGUCUGUAACUGACGCUGAUGUGCGAAAGCGUGGGGAUCAAACAGGAUUAGAUACCCUGGUAGUCCACGCCGUAAACGAUGAGUGCUAAGUGUUAGGGGGUUUCCGCCCCUUAGUGCUGCAGCUAACGCAUUAAGCACUCCGCCUGGGGAGUACGACCGCAAGGUUGAAACUCAAAGGAAUUGACGGGGACCCGCACAAGCGGUGGAGCAUGUGGUUUAAUUCGAAGCAACGCGAAGAACCUUACCAAAUCUUGACAUCCUUUGACAACUCUAGAGAUAGAGCUUUCCCCUUCGGGGGACAAAGUGACAGGUGGUGCAUGGUUGUCGUCAGCUCGUGUCGUGAGAUGUUGGGUUAAGUCCCGCAACGAGCGCAACCCUUAAGCUUAGUUGCCAUCAUUAAGUUGGGCACUCUAAGUUGACUGCCGGUGACAAACCGGAGGAAGGUGGGGAUGACGUCAAAUCAUCAUGCCCCUUAUGAUUUGGGCUACACACGUGCUACAAUGGACAAUACAAAGGGCAGCGAAACCGUGAGGUCAAGCAAAUCCCAUAAAGUUGUUCUCAGUUCGGAUUGUAGUCUGCAACUCGACUACAUGAAGCUGGAAUCGCUAGUAAUCGUAGAUCAGCAUGCUACGGUGAAUACGUUCCCGGGUCU